AUUGAACGCUGGCGGCAUGCUUUACACAUGCAAGUCGAACGGUAACAGCACUUCGGUGGCUGACGAGUGGCGAACGGGUGAGUAAUACAUCGGAACGUGCCUAGUAGUGGGGGAUAACUACUCGAAAGAGUAGCUAAUACCGCAUGAGAUCUAAGGAUGAAAGCAGGGGACCUUCGGGCCUUGCGCUACUAGAGCGGCUGAUGGCAGAUUAGGUAGUUGGUGGGAUAAAAGCUUACCAAGCCGACGAUCUGUAGCUGGUCUGAGAGGACGACCAGCCACACUGGGACUGAGACACGGCCCAGACUCCUACGGGAGGCAGCAGUGGGGAAUUUUGGACAAUGGGCGCAAGCCUGAUCCAGCAAUGCCGCGUGCAGGAUGAAGGCCUUCGGGUUGUAAACUGCUUUUGUACGGAACGAAAAGACCUCUUCUAAUACAGGAGGGUCAUGACGGUACCGUAAGAAUAAGCACCGGCUAACUACGUG
rnacentral:rRNA from 1 species